rnacentral:rRNA from 2 species
AAAUUGAAGAGUUUGAUCAUGGCUCAGAUUGAACGCUGGCGGCAGGCCUAACACAUGCAAGUCGAACGGUAACAGGAAGCAGCUUGCUGCUUUGCUGACGAGUGGCGGACGGGUGAGUAAUGUCUGGGAAACUGCCUGAUGGAGGGGGAUAACUACUGGAAACGGUGGCUAAUACCGCAUAACGUCGCAAGACCAAAGAGGGGGACCUUCGGGCCUCUUGCCAUCAGAUGUGCCCAGAUGGGAUUAGCUUGUUGGUGAGGUAACGGCUCACCAAGGCGACGAUCCCUAGCUGGUCUGAGAGGAUGACCAGCCACACUGGAACUGAGACACGGUCCAGACUCCUACGGGAGGCAGCAGUGGGGAAUAUUGCACAAUGGGCGCAAGCCUGAUGCAGCCAUGCCGCGUGUAUGAAGAAGGCCUUCGGGUUGUAAAGUACUUUCAGCGGGGAGGAAGGUGUUGUGGUUAAUAACCACAGCAAUUGACGUUACCCGCAGAAGAAGCACCGGCUAACUCCGUGCCAGCAGCCGCGGUAAUACGGAGGGUGCAAGCGUUAAUCGGAAUUACUGGGCGUAAAGCGCACGCAGGCGGUCUGUCAAGUCGGAUGUGAAAUCCCCGGGCUCAACCUGGGAACUGCAUUCGAAACUGGCAGGCUUGAGUCUUGUAGAGGGGGGUAGAAUUCCAGGUGUAGCGGUGAAAUGCGUAGAGAUCUGGAGGAAUACCGGUGGCGAAGGCGGCCCCCUGGACAAAGACUGACGCUCAGGUGCGAAAGCGUGGGGAGCAAACAGGAUUAGAUACCCUGGUAGUCCACGCCGUAAACGAUGUCUACUUGGAGGUUGUGCCCUUGAGGCGUGGCUUCCGGAGCUAACGCGUUAAGUAGACCGCCUGGGGAGUACGGCCGCAAGGUUAAAACUCAAAUGAAUUGACGGGGGCCCGCACAAGCGGUGGAGCAUGUGGUUUAAUUCGAUGCAACGCGAAGAACCUUACCUGGUCUUGACAUCCACAGAACUUUCCAGAGAUGGAUUGGUGCCUUCGGGAACUGUGAGACAGGUGCUGCAUGGCUGUCGUCAGCUCGUGUUGUGAAAUGUUGGGUUAAGUCCCGCAACGAGCGCAACCCUUAUCCUUUGUUGCCAGCGAUUAGGUCGGGAACUCAAAGGAGACUGCCAGUGAUAAACUGGAGGAAGGUGGGGAUGACGUCAAGUCAUCAUGGCCCUUACGACCAGGGCUACACACGUGCUACAAUGGCAUAUACAAAGAGAAGCGACCUCGCGAGAGCAAGCGGACCUCAUAAAGUAUGUCGUAGUCCGGAUUGGAGUCUGCAACUCGACUCCAUGAAGUCGGAAUCGCUAGUAAUCGUGGAUCAGAAUGCCACGGUGAAUACGUUCCCGGGCCUUGUACACACCGCCCGUCACACCAUGGGAGUGGGUUGCAAAAGAAGUAGGUAGCUUAACCUUCGGGAGGGCGCUUACCACUUUGUGAUUCAUGACUGGGGUGAAGUCGUAACAAGGUAACCGUAGGGGAACCUGCGGUUGGAUCACCUCCUUA